rnacentral:rRNA from 1 species
AAUCAACGCUGGCGGCGUGCCUAACACAUGCAAGUCGAACGCGAAAGCCCUUUCGGGGGUAAGUAGAGUGGCGUCCGGGUGAGUAACACGUAGGUAAUCUGCCUUCGGGUGGGGAAUAACCAGUCGAAAGAUUGGCUAAUACCGCAUAAUGCAGCGGCACCUAAUGGUGAUUAGUUGUUAAAGCGGGGGAUCGUAAGACCUCGCGCCUGAAGAGGAGCCUGCGGCAGAUUAGCAGUUGGUGAGGUAAUGGCUCACCAAGGCUUCGAUCUGUAGCUGGUCUGAGAGGACGGCCAGCCACACUGGCACUGACACACGGGCCAGACUCCUACGGGAGCAGCAGU